CAGAUUUCCUCUCCUGCUCUCACUCGUUCUCUCAAGCCUUGGAUGCUUUGGCCGAUCAGAGCUUCCAAUCUGGCUGACAAUCAAAAAUAAAUUUGGGUCAACUCAACAUUGGGCCUCAAGUACGGAUAGAGCCUCUAUUUUUGAUUGGCAAGGCAAAACUCAUUUUGAACAUUUUUGGAUUGUUUUGAGGUUUCAUCCAAAAUGGGUGGAUCAUAUGGAAAGUGCAAAACCGAAGAAAAAAUUAAUCGUGAUAAAUCUAGGGGGAGACAAGGCUUUGCAUAGUGGGAGACGAGGCCUCGCACGGAGCUUUUGUAGACUUGGAGCGACCAAUAGGCCGGAAGGCUGAAAAGGACAAACGAAAGACUAAAGAAAAAAAUGAAUCUGAGAAUUGUUGUGAUACUAAAUGAGAUGAAGGAAGACAAGAAGAUGAAAAUAAAACUUUUUGAGGAAGCACGUGAUCUUGUUAAAGAGAUGUUGCGCCUCAAGUAAGAGAGUGCGCCUUAGAGAAAAAAACACUUCGAUUGGAACAAGUGAGAGAGGAAAAGGAACUUAUGAUGAUGGAUAAAAGUGCUAUGGAUGAAAUUCAACAAGAAUAUGUUCGCCGAGGCGAAAUGGCAAUCUUUGAAGGCCAAAAUAUUAUUCUUUGUUUUUAAGUUCUUUACUUUUGUAGACACUGAUUUUAGUGUAAGUUUUGUCAUAUUUUAUGACUUCUAUGGUUUAUGUUAUUGCUCUUAUUCACAAAGACAUUAUCUUUC